rnacentral:rRNA from 1 species
AACGAACGCUGGCGGCAGGCCUAACACAUGCAAGUCGAACGCCGUAGCAAUACGGAGUGGCAGACGGGUGAGUAACACGUGGGAACAUACCCUUCGGUUCGGAAUAACUCAGGGAAACUUGAGCUAAUACCGGAUACGUCCGCGAGGAGAAAGAUUCAUCGCCGGAGGAUUGGCCCGCGUCUGAUUAGCUUGUUGGUGAGGUAAUGGCUCACCAAGGCGACGAUCAGUAGCUGGUCUGAGAGGAUGAUCAGCCACAUUGGGACUGAGACACGGCCCAAACUCCUACGGGAGGCAGCAGUGGGGAAUAUUGGACAAUGGGCGCAAGCCUGAUCCAGCCAUGCCGCGUGAGUGAUGAAGGCCCUAGGGUUGUAAAGCUCUUUUACCCGGGAAGAUAAUGACUGUACCGGGAGAAUAAGCCCCGGCUAACUUCGUGCCAGCAGCCGCCGUAAG